UCCCUUACUUCCUCUAUCCCUUCUACUACCUAUCCUUGACUAUGCCGAUGUAUGCUAUCUGGAUGUGACAGAGGAGCUGCUUAGAAAAUUGGAGCGACUUCAGAAUCUCGCAGUACGUUUCAUUUUUGGCCUACGAAAGUUUGAUCGUAUCUCUCACUUCCGUGCUCAGAUCAAAUGGCUCCCUAUUCGCCUUCGCCGUGAUAUGCAUAUCCUUUCUACUCUCUUUAACAUCAUACGUAACCCAAACUCUCCUUCUUAUCUUCGAUCCCGUUUCCACUUCCUACCCUCUCCUAAUCGUUCCAGGCGCCCUGGCAUUACACCAAAGCUGGAUGUACCAAAGUGC